rnacentral:rRNA from 1 species
GAUGAACGCUGGCGGCGUGCCUAAUACAUGCAAGUCGAGCGAACAGACGAGGAGCUUGCUCCUCUGACGUUAGCGGCGGACGGGUGAGUAACACGUGGAUAACCUACCUAUAAGACUGGGAUAACUUCGGGAAACCGGAGCUAAUACCGGAUAAUAUAUUGAACCGCAUGGUUCAAUAGUGAAAGACGGUUUUGCUGUCACUAAUAGAUGGAUCCGCGCCGCAUUAGCUAGUUGGUAAGGUAACGGCUUACCAAGGCGACGAUGCGUAGCCGACCUGAGAGGGUGAUCGGCCACACUGGAACUGAGACACGGUCCAGACUCCUACGGGAGGCAGCAGUAGGGAAUCUUCCGCAAUGGGCGAAAGCCUGACGGAGCAACGCCGCGUGAGUGAUGAAGGUCUUCGGAUCGUAAAACUCUGUUAUUAGGGAAGAACAAAUGUGUAAGUAACUAUGCACGUCUUGACGGUACCUAAUGAGAAAGCCACGGCUAACUACGUG